GGAUGAACGCUGGCGGCGUGCCUAAUACAUGCAAGUCGAGCGAACAGACGAGGAGCUUGCUCCUCUGACGUUAGCGGCGGACGGGUGAGUAACACGUGGAUAACCUACCUAUAAGACUGGGAUAACUUCGGGAAGCCGGAGCUAAUACCGGAUAAUAUAUUGAACCGCAUGGUUCAAUAGUGAAUUACGGUUUUGCUGUCACUUAUAGAUGGAUCCGCGCCGCAUUAGCUAGUUGGUAAGGUAACGGCUUACCAAGGCAACGAUGCGUAGCCGACCUGAGAGGGUGAUCGGCCACACUGGAACUGAGACACGGUCCAGACACCUACGGGAGGCAGCAGUAGGGAAUCUUCCGCAAUGGGCGAAAGCCUGACGGAGCAACGCCGCGUGAGUGAUGAAGGUCUUCGGAUCGUAAAACUCUGUUAGUAGGGAAGAACAAAUGUGUAAGUAACUAUGCACGUCUUGACGGUACCUAAUCAGAAAGCCACGGCUAACUACGUG
rnacentral:rRNA from 1 species